GUUUGCACUUGUCGGGGAAGGGUGAGAACCUUCGAUUAAGGUUCGACUCGAGCGAAAGCGAAAGAACGUUGCCAACGGCAACGGCCGUAGGGUGAGGAGCGAAGCGACGAAUAAUCCUUCCCCCACCACCA
rnacentral:sRNA from 2 species